UAACUAUUCCCUCCGUUCGGAAUUACUUGUCGCGAAAAUGGAUGUAUCUAGACAUAUUUUAGUUAUAGAUACAUCCAUUUUCGAGACAAGUAAUUCCGAACGAAGGGAGUAGUUG
rnacentral:pre_miRNA from 1 species